UGCGUAGGGUGCGAGCGUUGUCCGGAAUUAUUGGGCGUAAAGGGCUCGUAGGCGGUUUGUCGCGUCGGGAGUGAAAACACCGGGCUUAACUCGGUGCUUGCUUUCGAUACGGGCAGACUAGAGGUAUGCAGGGGAGAACGGAAUUCCUGGUGUAGCGGUGAAAUGCGCAGAUAUCAGGAGGAACACCGGUGGCGAAGGCGGUUCUCUGGGCAUUACCUGACGCUGAGGAGCGAAAGUGUGGGGAGCGAACAGG
rnacentral:rRNA from 1 species